GAUCCUGGCUCAGAAUCAACGCUGGCGGCGUGCCUAACACAUGCAAGUCGAACGAGAAAGGGUAGCAAUACCUGAGUAAAGUGGCGCACGGGUGAGUAACACGUGACUAACCUACCCUGGAGUGGGGGAUAACUGAGGGAAACCUUAGCUAAUACCGCAUAAUACCUACGGGUCAAAGGAGCAAUUCGCUUGAGGAGGGGGUCGCGGCCGAUUAGUUAGUUGGCGGGGUAAUGGCCCACCAAGACRAUGAUCGGUAUCCGGCCUGAGAGGGCGCACGGACACACUGGAACUGAAACACGGUCCAGACUCCUACGGGAGGCAGCAG
rnacentral:rRNA from 1 species